rnacentral:rRNA from 1 species
UACAGAGGGGGCAAGCGUUGUUCGGAAUUACUGGGCGUAAAGGGCGCGUAGGCGGCCUGUUAAGUCGAACGUGAAAUCCCCGGGCUCAACCCGGGAACUGCGUCCGAUACUGGAUGGCUUGAAUUCGGGAGAGGGAUGCAGAAUUCCAGGUGUAGCGGUGAAAUGCGUAGAUAUCUGGAGGAAUACCGGUGGCGAAGGCGGCAUCCUGGACCGACAUUGACGCUGAUGAGCGAAAGCUAGGGGAGCAAACGGG